rnacentral:lncRNA from 1 species
UGGGCUUUAGAGCUCACCCCUCUCCCCUAACCCCAGAUGUGCAGGUACAGGGUAGAUCAUGAGGUUAGCCAGAGUUAGAAGUCAUCUUGUUGUAAUAGUUAGAAAGUGGACAUGACAACGAUUGUAUUAUAACAAUUGUAUUUGAUGUAAUGUAAGAAAUGGUAUAGUAUGUUAUGUAAUGAGAUUAUUGAGGUUAUAGUUGUGCUUGACUCUAUGAGUUAUAGUUAUUCCGUUGUUACAUGAUCUAUAGAAAUGUCACUAUGAUGUUUAUCAUAGUCCAAGCUUAAUGUAUGAU